UCUCUUCUCCUCCUCUCCCCUUCCAGAUCCGCCCUCGCCGCCACCCGCCCCUCCCCUCGCUGUCCUCGAUCCAGAUCGCUCCUCCCUCCCUCCCCUCCGGCAUUACGACGCCCCGAAGCGUGCGUGCUCGCCGCGUGCUCGACGUGAGGAUAGCGCUCCCUACCUCUUCUCCACCUCGCGCCUCGCAGUCGUACUACCAACCAACCCCGGCCGACGCAACUCCAGUCACUCCCCGCCUCCCGCGAUGGUCGCCACGACGAAGAUCCUGCAGCGGCAGCUCUUCAUCGAAUGGCGCUGCUGAACCAUCCCACGAGGGAGCUCCAGCAAGGCCGCUCGGGUGGUGCGUUGGACGGUCGCCGACCUCGCGUAACCCCGGUGCCGCACGGCUCCGAGCACCCGGCGACCUCGGCAUACCGCAGGAGCGGACCCGACCCACAGGCAAAGGGUGAUCGAGGAGAUGGGAAAGGCCUGGGCGAGUGGACCGGUCUGAUCGGUUAGGGUGGCGACCAAGGAGCUGAGGAUGUCGAGGAGGGCGGUGAACCCCGGCGGUCAUGGAAAGGCGGCUGGACAUGUGAGGGCGAGCUGGAGGAGCUUGAGAAGGGCGUGGAGCCUGCGUGCUGAACGUCAUUGACCACAUCAAGGCUGUCAAGGACUCGCCCGACCUCUGUGCCGCCGUCGAGGAUGUCCAGAUGCUGGCGUUUCAUGUUUCGUCACGAGCAUCAAGAUGAAGAAGUCGGAAGAAGCAUAGUUCAAGCUCAUCGGAGCUAGUUCAAGGAGUAAUGAAGCCCUUGAUGCUGAUCCGUAUUGGAACAAAUUGAAGCACGAACUGUGACAUAUAGAGCUUGUUAUACUGUAGAGCUUGAUGCUCAUCGGCUCAUGUGACAUAUUGUACACCUGUAGAGCUUGUUAUAUUGUGAUCGCAUUUGUAUGUGUUGAUGUAACAGAUUGUUGCUUCUUGUUAUUUGAAGUAUUACACCUGUUUUCUGUC